GACGAACGCUGGCGGCGUGCUUAACACAUGCAAGUCGAACGGAAAGGCCCUGCUUUUGUGGGGUGCUCGAGUGGCGAACGGGUGAGUAACACGUGAGUAACCUGCCCUUGACUUUGGGAUAACUUCAGGAAACUGGGGCUAAUACCGGAUAGGAGCUCCUGCUGCAUGGUGGGGGUUGGAAAGUUUCGGCGGUUGGGGAUGGACUCGCGGCUUAUCAGCUUGUUGGUGGGGUAGUGGCUUACCAAGGCUUUGACAGGUAGCCGGCCUGAGAGGGUGACCGGCCACAUUGGGACUGAGAUACGGCCCAGACUCCUACGGGAGGCAGCAGUGGGGAAUAUUGCACAAUGGGCGGAAGCCUGAUGCAGCAACGCCGCGUGCGGGAUGACGGCCUUCGGGUUGUAAACCGCUUUCGCCUGUGACGAAGCGUGAGUGACGGUAAUGGGUAAAGAAGCACCGGCUAACUACGU
rnacentral:rRNA from 1 species